AACGAACGCUGGCGGCAUGCCUAAUACAUGCAAGUCGAACGAGAUCUUCGGAUCUAGUGGCGCACGGGUGCGUAACGCGUGGGAAUCUGCCCUUGGGUUCGGAAUAACGUCGGGAAACUGACGCUAAUACCGGAUGAUGACGUAAGUCCAAAGAUUUAUCGCCCAAGGAUGAGCCCGCGUAGGAUUAGCUAGUUGGUGAGGUAAAGGCUCACCAAGGCUACGAUCCUUAGCUGGUCUGAGAGGAUGAUCAGCCACACUGGGACUGAGACACGGCCCAGACUCCUACGGGAGGCAGCAGUAGGGAAUAUUGGACAAUGGGGGCAACCCUGAUCCAGCAAUGCCGCGUGAGCGAUGAAGGCCUUAGGGUUGUAAAGCUCUUUUACCCGGGAUGAUAAUGACAGUACCGGGAGAAUAAGCCCCGGCUAACUCCGUGCCAGCAGCCGCCGUAA
rnacentral:rRNA from 1 species